CCCUUCGGGGUACUCGAGCGGCGAACGGGUGAGUAACACGUGAGUAACCUGCCCCAAACUUUGGGAUAACCCUCGGAAACGGGGGCUAAUACCGAAUAUUACUUCUGGUCGCAUGGCUGGUGGUGGAAAGUUUUUCGGUUUGGGAUGGACUCGCGGCCUAUCAGCUUGUUGGUGGGGUGAUGGCCUACCAAGGCGACGACGGGUAGCCGGCCUGAGAGGGCGACCGGCCACACUGGGACUGAGACACGGCCCAG
rnacentral:rRNA from 1 species